AUGCCGUGUGCAGUGGGCUCCACAUCCAAGUCUUGUCCGUCCUCCGCAGCAAGGAGCUGGGCCAAGGGAGCAAAUAGCGCCACUGGUUCCUUCACGGAUGCGUGUUGCUGGUCGAGUCUUGUGGAGAAGCAAGGUGAAUUGGGCAUUGUCUCAAUUGUUACGCUGUGUAGCUCCAGGCCUAGGAAAUUUCAAGUUCGAAGCGGCGUGUAG
rnacentral:rRNA from 1 species